CCUACGGGAGGCAGCAGUGAGGAAUAUUGGUCAAUGGGCGGAAGCCUGAACCAGCCAAGUCGCGUGAGGGAAUAAGGCCCUACGGGUCGUAAACCUCUUUUGCCGGGGAGCAAGGGCGGGGACGUGUCCCGGCCCGGAGAGUACCCGGAGAAAAAGCAUCGGCUAACUCCGUGCCAGCAGCCGCGGUAAUACGGAGGAUGCGAGCGUUAUCCGGAUUUACUGGGUGUAAAGGGAGCGUAGACGGGCCAGCAAGUCUGAUGUGAAAACCCGGGGCCCAACCCCGGGAGUGCAUUGGAAACUGCGGG
rnacentral:rRNA from 1 species